rnacentral:rRNA from 1 species
UAAGGAAUAUUGGUCAAUGGACGCAAGUCUGAACCAGCCAUGCCGCGUGAAGGAUGAAGGUCCUCUGGAUUGUAAACUUCUUUUAUAUGGGACGAAACCCCCGAAUUCUUUCGGGAUUGACGGUACCAUAAGAAUAAGCACCGGCUAACUCCGUGCCAGCAGCCGCGGUAAUACGGAGGGUGCAAGCGUUAUCCGGAUUCACUGGGUUUAAAGGGUGCGUAGGAGGGCAGGUAAGUCAGUGGUGAAAUCUCCGAGCUUAACUUGGAAACUGCCGUUGAUACUAUCUGUCUUGAAUAUUGUGGAGGUGAGCGGAAUAUGUCAUGUAGCGGUGAAAUGCUUAGAUAUGACAUAGAACACCAAUUGCGAAGGCAGCUCGCUACACAUAUAUUGACUCUGAGGCACGAAAGCGUGGGGAUCAAACAG